rnacentral:snRNA from 1 species
GAGGAAAUCGCAGACAGGGU